UACGCAGGUGGCUAGCGUUGUUCGGAAUCACUGGGCGUAAAGGGCGCGUAGGCGGCUUUGUAAGUCGGGGGUGAAAGCCUGUGGCUCAACCACAGAAUUGCCUUCGAUACUGCAUGGCUUGAGACCGGAAGAGGUAAGUGGAACUGCGAGUGUAGAGGUGAAAUUCGUAGAUAUUCGCAAGAACGCCAGUGGCGAAGGCGGCUUACUGGUCCGGUUCUGACGCUGAGGCGCGAAAGCGUGGGGAGCAAACAGG
rnacentral:rRNA from 1 species